rnacentral:rRNA from 1 species
UACGGAGGGUGCAAGCGUUAUCCGGAUUUACUGGGCUUAAAGGGUGCGUAGGUGGGUCUGUAAGUCAGUGGUGAAAUCUCCGAGCUUAACUCGGAAACUGCCAUUGAUACUAUAGGUCUUGAAUUAUCUGGAGGUAAGCGGAAUAUGUCAUGUAGCGGUGAAAUGCUUAGAUAUGACAUAGAACACCAAUUGCGAAGGCAGCUUACUACGGAUUGAUUGACACUGAGGCACGAAAGCGUGGGGAUCAAACAGG